UACGUAGGGAGCAAGCGUUGUCCGGAAUCAUUGGGCGUAAAGCGCGCGUAGGCGGCUCGAUCAGUCUGUUGUGAAAGUCAAAGGCUCAACCUUUGAAUGCCGAUGGAUACUGUCGAGCUAGAGUCCGGAAGAGGCGGGUGGAAUUCCUGGUGUAGCGGUGAAAUGCGCAGAUAUCAGGAAGAACACCCGUGGCGAAGGCGGCUCUCUGGGACGGUACUGACGCUGAGACGCGAAAGCGUGGGGAGCGAACAGG
rnacentral:rRNA from 1 species